CCCCACCACACUGGUUGUCUUACACAGGCAGACACUACAGGGCACAGCAACUGGGAGACAGACAUUCACAUAUGUAUGUAUGUACGCACGCACAUACACACAAACACACACGUUCUUGUUUUGGUUUACGACCAGUAGUUUUCCAUCAGUUAAAGAAAUGACACAGGACAAAUUCCAUUGGUGAAUCUUUCACUUGAGUUGACCCAGCCUAAAUACACUAUAUGUCAAUGUCUCAGAGUCUAUCGCUGACCAGUGGAGAAUGAGUCAUACAGUUACAGAUGUCUUUAAAAUGAGUUCAAUUCAUUGGAAUAUGACUGUAUGUGUUGCUUACUGUCUUGAAGCUUGUUGCCAAGUCAGACUCACAGACAGGGGUGUUGAUGGCUAGUUCCUGAUGUGAAGACUGGGUUCCCGUACAGGAGUCUCCUGAUCAGUGUUCACCCGUAUCUCAGUACUCUCAGAUUACAGUCCGUGCUAUCAUGUUUUACCUCUCUGUUCCUCAUCCUUACCAGGGGUUUAUAGUGUAAACAGACAGAAACCACAUGGAGUAAACAGCAGUGGACUCACGUUCCCACGGAAGCUUACAAGGAUGUGCUGACCUGACUGUAGUUUGUAUAGCAUUUCCUUUCAAUUGCUGAUAUUUUAUGCCAAAGACUUUGACAUAAAGUAGGACGUUGGCUUAAAGUAAAACUAAAAACCAGAUUGAGGUUGAGAUCUCCAUGAUCAAUAAAACAACUGAACAUCCAUUACAGUACUGCGCCAUCACUUUAAAACUGUGAUUUCACGUUGUUGGUUGAUGCUAUAACUGAUGCCAAAGCCCAGCAGUGUGUGUGUGUGAUCUGUCAUUGAGAUUUCCUCAUGACUCUUAAGUCAGCGUUAGAUGAUAGAGAUAGAGUGCAGGUUAUUUUGCAGCAAAGGCAUUUCAUCAACUUCUGCCUCUCCGCGUCAGUUUUGGGAAAGAGUGGUUGACGUCAGAUUUCUCUCCCAGCGGGAAGAACUGAAGAGAGAGAGAAUGAGAUCCACUGUGCCAUUCAAUUACACAUGCGUAUGUCUUUAAACACAUGACAGAUUCAUCAUAGUUAUGCUAUGUUUGGAUGUUGACGAUGACCUUUCCCAGGCCUGUAGGACACUUUGUACAGAAAUAAGUUGGAGUUGGAGUUCCAGUUCAAGUUUAAGUUUAACUGGGCAGUGGUGUUACCUUACAGCAACUGCUUUAUAGUCAACAAAUACAAUGAAUAUGGCUUCAUUGGCAUUUAUAAUUUACAGCACUUACUAAAUAGGCAUGCUCACCUUUGCACCGACACUUACGGACCAUGUCCCUCACAGACCAUUUGGCAGAAGAGACUAUACACAGAACGGAGACGAGUUAACUUAAUCAUUGUUCCCAUUUUGUCAUAAAUGUUGAAAUGCUGCAACAAUGCGUUACUGAUCAACCCCUGAGAACGCAACAGUCCAUUCAAAAGGUGUGAAGUACAUUCACUGUUUAACAUCGGUUAGUCAUUGACCUUGUGAUGUUCAGGUGUCAUAAAUCUACAGAACUGACAACAUGCAGGUGUGAAUGACUUACCUAUGUAAUGCAGAAAGUGUAUUGUAAACUCACAUAUAAUAUACUGCAUACUGUCUUGUACCUGUGCUGUCGCAUCAAAUGGAGACCAUGACGACCAGAAGGAGAGACACAGAUGAUCUUGGACAUGAUGAUGGCAGCCGUGGACACUGGACAAAGCAGAGAAAGAGAUAGGUCUGCACAGGCUGUCGGGGCUUUUUGUUUUCGUCUGCCACAGGCCUGCCUUCCCAACUGAUAUGUGAAGAUGAAGGGGCAAGAAAAGGCAGGAAAACAGGAUGUGAAACACAAAAACCCAUGAAGACCCAUCUAUGGCCAGCCUCAAUGCUACAAGAGCUGUUGUGGUGGUGGUGGUUGAGACUGAUUGGGGCUGUGUUUAUAUUAAUCUGGUAAAUAUUCAAUCCACUAGGAAUCUGUAACUAGGGCUACAAUAUGCAAGGUGGGUGAUCAUUGCCCAACCAUUAGUUGUUGCAUUUUUACCAAUGGUUUUCCAAUCUGUAACUAUUCAAAGAAAAGCCUCCAGAUGGAAAAUUAACAUUUCUUUCUCUGAUUAUAUCUGUUUACCUGGAAUUUAUCAGUCAUUGUGUGUGCUCUCUGCAAUCAUAUCACAUUAUUCAUGAUUUAUAAACUAUUUUUAAAAUAAAAUGUUAACAUUUA